rnacentral:tRNA from 1 species
GGUACCUUGGCCGAGAGGUUAGGCACCGGUCUGCAAAACCGUAUACAGCAGUUCGAAUCUGCUAGGUACCU